UACGUAGGUGGCAAGCGUUGUCCGGAUUUACUGGGCGUAAAGAGCGCGCAGGCGGUCGAAUAAGUCGAAUGUGAAAGCCCCCGGCUCAACUGGGGAGGGUCAUUCGAUACUGCUCGACUUGAAGGCAGGAGAGGGUAGUGGAAUUCCCGGUGUAGUGGUGAAAUGCGUAGAUAUUGGGAGGAACACCAGUGGCGAAGGCGGCUCACUGGACCGGUACUGACGCUGAUGCGCGAAAGCGUGGGGAGCAAACGGG
rnacentral:rRNA from 1 species